GGGCGAUUGGCGCAGUGGUAGCGCAGAUCCCUUACAAGGAUAAGGUCGGCAGUUCGAAUCUGUCAUCGCCCACCA
rnacentral:tRNA from 1 species